CACUUGGGUGAGAUAUCACAGUGCAGUUAAACUCCAUAAAACUGUAUCACAAAACAUGCCAGCAUUUCCAAGAAGAAAGAAAAUUAGGGAGAAAAAUAUCUUCACCAAAGUGCUUGUCUUCUGUGCCUGGCUAUUUGUAACACUGUAUAAGAGAGAAAGUUUCAUUCCACAUUGUGGGUCUUCACCUCGGACCAGGAUCGCGUACGGUGCCAGGAAGAAGCUCAACUUCCAGACCAGCUGUCAAUCAAGGGGUUCCUAACGGACAGAAGGGCGUGAAGUUCAUUUCUUUUCCCCUCUUUUCCAUUCUUUUUAUUAACUUAAUAAAUGAUACUUUCUUUUUUGUCUUUUAUUAUUACUCAA